GAGCGCAACCCUUGUCCUUAGUUACCAGCACGUAUGUGGGCACUCUAAGGAGACUGCCGGUGACAAACCGGAGGAAGGUGGGGAGUGACGUCAAGUCAUCAUGGCCCUUACGGCCUGGGCUACACACGUGCUACAAUGGUCGGUACAAAGGGUUGCCAAGCCGCGAGGUGGAGCUAAUCCCAUAAAACCGAUCGUAGUCCGGAUCGCAGUCUGCAACUCGACUGCGUGAAGUCGGAAUCGCUAGUAAUCGUGAAUCAGAAUGUCACGGUGAAUACGUUCCCGGGCCUU
rnacentral:rRNA from 1 species